CCUCCUUUCAGAGCGUGCAUCUCAAGUCGAGCGUUCACACUUAUCGGUUUGUUAAUUGUUAGAGCCAGGAUGCGCAGUGCGUGUCUUGCGUAGCAUGGUCAAAUGCAAGCGCUUAGCAUUGAGCGCUUGCAUUUGGCUUUGCCAAGACGACCGGAGACCCAGUCUCAGUCGGCUGUUCUUUAAAAAUAUGGGAUGUAGUAAAGGUGUCGUGAGCGUUGAUGAGACGCUGCAGUAAAAACACGAUACCGGGUUGUGAUUGUAUCAACCAAAAUGUAUUUAAGUGAUCGAAAGACGACUUGGAAUACGGCACAAAUGCGAGAACUCAUCCUGUAGCGAGCACGGCUUGAACGCAAGUUUGAGACACACUCGUUAUAGGGUCAAGCGAACAAGUGCAUGUGGUGGAUGCCUUGGCGAUCACAGGCGAUGAAGGACGCGGUAGCCUGCGAAAAGCUUCGGGGAGCUGGCAAACAAGCUUUGAUCCGGAGAUUCCCGAAUA
rnacentral:misc_RNA from 1 species